GACGAACGCUGGCGGCGUGCUUAACACAUGCAAGUCGAACGGAAAGGCCCUGCUUUUGUGGGGUGCUCGAGUGGCGAACGGGUGAGUAACACGUGAAUAACCUGCCCUUGACUUUGGGAUAACUUCAGGAAACUGGGGCUAAUACCGGAUAGGAGCUCCUGCUGCAUGGUGGGGGUUGGAAAGUUUCGGCGGUUGGGGAUGGACUCGCGGCUUAUCAGCUUGUUGGUGGGGUAGUGGCUUACCAAGGCUUUGGCGGGUAGCCGGCCUGAGAGGGUGACCGGCCACAUUGGGACUGAGAUACGGCCCAGACUCCUACGGGAGGCAGCAGUGGGGAAUAUUGCACAAUGGGCGGAAGCCUGAUGCAGCAACGCCGCGUGCGGGAUGACGGCCUUCGGGUUGUAAACCGCUUUCGCCUGUGACGAAGCGUGAGUGACGGUAAUGGGUAAAGAAGCACCGGCUAACUACGUG
rnacentral:rRNA from 1 species